rnacentral:lncRNA from 1 species
CUUGCUCUCAGAUCACACACAGUCUUAUGCAAUUUUAUUAGCAACGUGCCUUUUUUAGCAGCUUGGAAUUUAAGACUAAUCCAUCCCCAAAACUGUUUCCUGGUUUCCUUUCAUUCUCAAGAGUAGAACUUCCCUCUAGUGCAGACAAUCAGAAAAUAUUAUGAACCUUCACAGGAACUUGGAAAUAGCUGAUGAUGCUCCCAUAUGAUGGCUCAGAUGCUCACUCUCAGUCUAAACAAAUUAUCUUCUGGGGGAAAAAAGUCUAUCUGAGGAGACAGAUUGCUUCAGUUCACCUUUAGCCCGAUACAGAUGCCCACCUAGAUAAACAAGAAUCUUCUGUUCACUUGUCUUCUCUUGAUAAUGUCUGCAGACCACUGCUCUGCUAGGUCAUGGAUGACAACAUGUGUUUCCACAUCUUUUGGGAGAAAGAAGGGGAAGAGCUCUGAAUGCAGAUUGCUGCAUAUGCAAUCUUAUAUAUGCAGGUCAUGA